rnacentral:rRNA from 1 species
UACGUAGGGGGCAAGCGUUAUCCGGAUUUACUGGGUGUAAAGGGAGCGUAGACGGCGGUGCAAGCCAGAUGUGAAAGCCCGGGGCUCAACCCCGGGACUGCAUUUGGAACCGUGCUGCUAGAGUGUCGGAGAGGCAGGCGGAAUUCCUAGUGUAGCGGUGAAAUGCGUAGAUAUUAGGAGGAACACCAGUGGCGAAGGCGGCCUGCUGGACGAUGACUGACGUUGAGGCUCGAAAGCGUGGGGAGCAAACAGG